rnacentral:pre_miRNA from 1 species
GUCAUACUCCCUCCGUCCCAAAAUUCUUGUCUUAGAUUUGUCUAAGUACGGAUGUAUCAAGUCACGUUUUAGUAUUAGAUACAUCCGUAUCUAGACAAAUCUAAGACAAGAAUUUUGGGACGGAGGGAGUAUAUU